AGAAAAGCAGAAGCAAAGCUUGAUUGCCUAGCUGCAGCCUGCUCGAAGGGCUCUCACUUUUGCUCCUGCAACCCUGAUGAGUGCCAAAGGAAAUGUGGGCCUCUCUGACUUUAGACUACUCCUCCCCCAAGGAAAGCCAGACCCCGGGUCUGCUAGGGAAGAAAGGAGAAGAUGGUUUUGGUCCUGAGACUGAGCAGGCGGGUAGUCUGAGGGACACAUGACCAUCUGACCUCAGAGAGAAGAAGGUAAGACAGAGACACUCUCUCUGCUCCUGAGACAGGGAUCUUUUUAAAAAACAAAUCUCGGGGGCGCCUAGCUGGCUCAGCCGGUAGAGCAUGCAACUCUUGAUCUUGAGGUCGUGAGUUCCAGCCCCAUGUUGGGAAUCACGGCUUACUUUACAAAAAGAAAAAGCACACACACAAAUCUCAUUGCUGGGCCGGAUUAGGCACUGGCAAUAUGAAAACAGCCUCUCCCCUCAAAGAGAUUUCCUUUAAUGGGGCAGAGAUAAUGGGAACAAACGAAAUUGUGAUUACAUUUAACUGAAAUCGGAGCCAUUGUCUAGGUCUGUUGGCCAGCAUGACUUGAGGAACUCCCAGGAAGUCUUUGGGGGAGGGGUAGAAACCAGCAGGACCUUCUGGACAAGGUAGAUUGUUCACCUUGCAAAACCUGACCUGUCCCCAUUAAGCACUAACUCUCUAUUUCUCCCUCCCCUAGCCCUUGGCACCCAGCAUUCUACCUUCUCUCUCUAUGGACUUGGUGACCCUCGGUACCUCUUGAGAGUGGAAUCAAACAGUAUUUAUCUUUUUGUAACUGGUGUGUUUCACUUAGCACAAGGUCUUCAAGGUUUAUCCAUGUUGUAGCAUGCGUAGAGUGUCCUUUUUUAAUGCUUCUUUUUUUAAAGUUUAUUUAUUUUGGGAGAGAGAGAGAGAGAGAGAGAGAGAGAGAGAGAGAGAGAGAGUCCUAAGCAGGAUCUGCACUGUCAGCCCAGAGCCCAAUGCCAGGCUCGAUCUCAGGAACCAUGAAAUCAUGACCUGAACCGAAAUCAAGAGUUGGACGCUUAACUGACUGAGGCACCAAGGCACCCCAGAGUUUCCUUUUCUUAAAAAAGGCUGAAUAAUACUCCACUGUAUGAUACACCACACUUUGUUUACCCAUUUGGCCCAUCAGUAGACAUUUCGGUUGCUUCCAUUUUUUGUCUGUUGUGACUCAUUCUACUAUGAAUCUGGGUGUGCAAAUAUCUGUCUGAGUUUCUGCUUUCAAUUAUUUUGGGUAUAAUACUCAGUGUGGAAUUGCUGGGCCAGGUGGUAAUUCUGUUUUAACUUUUUGGAGGAACCCUCCGUACUCUUUUCCGUAGCUGGAGCCUUAUUUCCAUUCCCACUGGCAGGUGCAUGAGGGUUCCAGUUUCUCCACAUCGUUGCUGACACUUGAUAUAAAAAAAAAUUUUUUUUUUAACAUUUAUUCAUUUUUGAGAGACAGAGUGAGUGGGGCAGGGGCAGAGAGAGAGGGAGACACAGAAUGUGAAGCAAGCUUCAGGCUCCGGGCUGUCAGUGCAGAGCCCGACGCGGGGCUCGAACUCACAGACCGUGAGAUCAUGACCUGAGCCGAAGUCAGACACUUAAGCCACGGAACCACUCAGAUGCCCCAACCAACACUUGGUUUGGAUUUGUUUUGUCUCUCUAAUUGCCAUGAAAACAAGUGUGAGUUGGGAUCAUCGUCUACCUUUCUCAGCUGUCUCCCCACCACAGACACAACCUGUGCUGUGCGCCCACCCCACCAGGUUCCCUUUUCCACAAAGAGUCCAGAAGCAUUCUGCCUUCACAGCUUUACGUGUGUUUUUUUCUCUCUGCCAGGAAGACCUGGUGAACUCAUUGUCCUCAUUCAGAGAUGUGACCUGUCCUUGUCUUACUCCUUCUUAUACCAGCUCCAGAAGACAUCAGGCUUUUUCCCAUAUCAGGUGUCUUCUCUUAAAAACAUUUUUUUUUAUCAAGAUAUAAUUCACCUACUGAUGAUGUUUCAUUAUGCAACUUUUGACAAGCCGUCACCACAAUCAAGAUGAACAACUAUUCCACCACCUCGAAUAUUCUCCAGACCCUUUGUUGUCAAUCCCACUUCCUUUAGCCCCAAUUCCCGGUAACCACUCAUCUACUUUCUGUGACUAUUAGAUUCGCCUCUUCUGGAAUGUUAUAUAAAUGAAUCAUUCUGUUUAUAGCCCUUUGUGUCUGGUUUCUUUCCCUUUAGCAUCAUGCAUUUGAGAUUCAUUUAUCUUCUUGUGUGUAGCAGCAGUCUAUUCUUAUUUAUUGCUAAUAAUAUUCCACUGCACAUGUGUACCAACUUUGUCCCUUCGCUAGUUGAGAAAUAUUUGGGUGGUUAAACAUUCAUGUAAGGGUUUUGUAGGAACAUAAAUUUUUCAUUCCACUUGGGUCAACAACAAGGAGUGGGAUCGCUGAGUUGCAUGCUAACUGUUUAUAUGUAUGCUUUCUAAAUGUUCAUUUAUUUUUGAGAGUGAGAGUGAGAGCGUGAGCGGGGGAGAGGCGGAGAAAGAGGGGGACGGAAGAUCUGGAGUAGACCCUGUGCUGACAGCAGUGAGCCCAAUGCAGAGCUUGAACUCAGGAACCGCAAGAUUUGUGACCUGAGCUCAACUAGGACACUCAACUGACUGAGCCACCCAGGCGCCCAUAACUGUAUUUUUAAACUUUCUUAGAAGCUGCCAAACUGUUUUCCAAAUUGGCUGUAUCAUUUUGCAUUCGGACAGCAUUUAUGAGUUCUAGGUGCUCUGUAUCCUCACCAGCAUUUGAUAUUGUUGAAUUUGUAAUGUCAUUUUAGCUAUCCUAACGGCUGUGUCACAUGGCUUAUGUGUUUCCCUAAUAACUAAUAAUGUUGAACAUCUUCAGGUAUGUGUCAUUUGACUGUCUCUCUUGGUAAAGCGUAAAUGUUUUUCUGAUUUUAUAUGAAAUUCAAUUUUUAUUGAAUUUUGAUAGUUCUUUAUCUGGAUACCAGGCCUUUGUAAGAUGUAUGACUUGCACACACUUUUCACAGUCAGUGGCUUAACUUCUCAUCCUUAAAUAGUGCCUUUCAGAGAGCAGGGUUUCUUAAUUUUUAUGAGGUUUAAUUUAUCACUUUGUUCUUUUACAGAUCACAUUUCUGGUGUCAUAUCUAAGAAAUCUGUGCCCGACAUAAAGUCACGUAGAGUUUCUCCUGUUUCCUUGCGGAAGUUUUAUGUUUUAAGUUUUAUAUUUAGAUCUGUGCUCCAUUUUGAGUCAGUUUUGGGGAAUGGUGCAAGGCACAGAUUAAGAUUCAAUUGUUUCGGGGGCGCCUGGGUAGCUCAGUUGGUUAAGCGUCCGACUCUUGAUUUCGGCUCAGGUCAUGAUCUCAUGGUUCAUGGGUUCAAGCCCUGUUUGAGCCCUGUGCUGUCAGUGCAGAGCCUGCUUGGCCUUCUCUCUCUCUCCCUCAAGAUAAAAGAAAAAAUAAUAAAUGUAAAAAAACGAUUCAAUUGUUUCAGCACUAUUUGUUGAAAAGACUAUCUUUUCUCUGUUAAAUUGCCUUUGCAGCCUGUUGAAAAUCAAUUGACCAUAAAUAUGUAGUGUGCUGCUAGACUCUAAUUUUGUACAAUUGAUAUACAUGACUGUUCUUUUCCAAUACGACAGGAUGUCGAUUAAUGUAGUUCUAUAAUUGGUCUAGGAGACAGGUGCUGUAAGUUGUCCAACUUUGUUCUUUUUCAAGAACGUUUUGCCUAUGGUGGUUCCUUUGCUUUUCUUAGAAUCAGCAUAGUAAAGUCUGCAUAAAAUACUGCUGGGGUUUUUAAAAACCUGUGUUGACUAUGUUUGUGAGUUUGGAAAGAAAUGAAAUCUUAAUGAUAUUGAAUUUUCCAAUCCAUGAAAAUAGACUAUCUUGCCAUUUAUUCAGGUUUUCUUUAAUUUCUUUCAUCAAGGUUUAUAGCUCUCAGCAUACAGAUUUGGCAUUUAUCUUGUUAGAUUUAUACCUAACCAUUUCAUGUUUUUAACUUUAAUUCCCAGUUGUUGGUUGCUAAUAUAUAAAAAUACAGUCGAUUUUUUAAUAUUGAUCUUGUGGCCUAUGACCUUUCUACUUCCUAAACUCACUUCUUAGUUCUAGUUACUUUCUUUUUUUAUAGAUCCUUUGGGAUUUCUACAUAAUCAGAGAAGUACCUGUUAUUUAAUAAUUUUCCUUGUGAGUUUCUUUUUUUAAUGAAGCAAAAUAUAUCAAGAUAUUUCUCAACACUCUCACUGACAUAAUUAUUUUAUUAGACUGGUGACUUUUAGAAAAUGACUUCUCAAAACAAACCUAACCUAAGAAAAAUCAAAUGAGAUUACACCAAUCGGAGAAAAUGCAUAUAGGAUGUGGAGGCAGGCGCAUUUGUAAUUUCCCAGUUUAUUUUGUUAUGUCCAGUGAUAUGUAUAUGAUUUUUAAAAAUAACAAUAAUACAAACAAACAUAUGAUAGGCAAAGUCAUGGGUAUUUUCAAAUACCUCUUUUUAAGAUGCAAAUUAUUCUUGGUCUUGACUUCCCAUAUUGAUCAUCCUUUUUAAAAAUCAAAAUGAUUUUAAAAUGUUUAAAAUAAUAUAAUUUAUGAAUAUAUUCUAAAUAUCACAUUCGAUUGAGAGCCUCUGCUAUUUAAAAUUAUAAAAUUUUUAGGGGUGUCUGGGCUGCUCAGUCGGUUAAGUGUCCGACUUCAGCUCAGGUCAUGAUCUCGCAGUCCGUGAGUUCAAGCCCCACGUCGGGCCCUGUGCUGACAGCUCGGAGCCUGGAGCCUGCUUCAUAUUCUCUGUCUCUCUCUCUCUCUCUCUCUCUCUGCCCCUCCCCUGCUCAUGCUCUGUCUCUCUCACUCUCAAAAAUGAGUAAAUGUUAAAUAAUAAAAUAAAAUAAAAUAAAAUAAAAUAAAAUAAAAUAAUAAAAAUUUUAUAAAUGUAACAAUAUUGAAGUCAGGCCAGAAAUGUAGGUCUUCUACACACAUAUUGAAAAAUUGGUUAAAAAAAAAGAAAAGAAAAGUCUAUGCUAUACCACCCUGAAUGCACCUGACCUCAUCUGAAAAAUUGGUAAAAACAAAAAACCAUUUUGAUAUGUCCUUCUUAGUGAAUGAAUGACUUUUUAAAAAAACAAUAUUACUUUGAUAAGUUUUUUUUUUAAGUAUUGGAAUCACCAAAUUGUGUAGAAAAUCUUUUUAACUUCCAUGUUUGACAUAACAUUCCCCUUGAAAAUAUUUUUUUCUUUUUUUUUCCUCAAAAAUAUUUUUUAACUGGUCCCUUACAUCAUUAGAGUGUAUUUUGAACUUUAUAUUCUGAUUCACAACCAGCUCUCUUUCAAGUAACUUUUUGGGGAAUAUAUCUCAUCCAUAGAGAGAGAGAUAUACAUGUGUCCACAAUUUAGAGUAUACUAAUCAAUUCCAAUAAUAAUAUAGGCCCUAUCAUUGCACUUAUGGCUGACUAACCAGCCAGGUGUAUUGUAUAAUAUUUUUCGUAUUUUCCAGAAUGUAUUACAAACUGUUAUUGAAAAAAGAAAAGCUACACUUUUAAGUGUGUGCAGAUGUGAAUUUUGGCGAACAGAACAAUUUUUAAUAUUCAUCUAUGGUAUUUACUUGGCAAAGAAAAUGGACAUUUGUUCCCACUGCGUGAAUUUAAUAGAUCAGUAGACAUCCUAGGGAUACUCUGAGGAAGCAACCCUGGGUCAUGGAAAAUAUCUCAUCAAAGUUUGAUAUCUUUGAAUCUAUUUGUGACAGCUGCUUAUGUUAAUGUACAUCUAAUAUCAUUAUUGAAUAAGGGAUUUUAACAGAUCUUCCAAUGAGCUUUUAAAGAGUUAUAAUUUAGGCCUAUAAUUCUAUUAAUGAUUGCAAUUCUAAUGUGGAUGAUGGUGUUUAUUCAACCCAGACUAUUUUAUUAGAUUGAAAGUGUCAUCCAUUUUAGAGACUUCCUGAGAUUAAGAAAUUAUUAGAAUUGCCAUACUUAGGUCAUAAUGGAUGGCCCAUUUAGUCCCAUAUUUGAUGUCUAAUGGCACCAAGAUCAUUGAUUUUUUCACAAGCCUUACCUUUCACAAGUAUAUGGGUAUUUUGAACGUCCACAUCUCCAGUUACCUUAAUAAUUUGUGGGUGAAUGAGGCAACAUAUAUUUAACAGGCAUUUACUAUAUACUUAGCUCAGUGCUGAUCCUAAAAAGGAAGGUAACUUUGUCCCUGCUUUCUGGAAGCUUUUAUUAUUGUAGCAAUAAUGAGAAGUACAAGCAUAAAAGAACUUUAAAAACUAUAUAACUCUGCAUAAUAAAAUUCUAGAUUAGUGUAUAAUGCUGGGAAAUCUGAGAAGGUCUGUAAUAUUCAGAGGAUGUUUUAUAGAGGAGGUGAUCCUUGAAGUACAAUAUUUGGAUUGGCACUAGACAGGAAGAAAUUUCGGAGGCAGUCCAAGGGGAUAUAAUGGGAAGCCAUGAGCUUAGGGCGAAUUGAAAGAAUGUCAAACAGUAAUUAGGAAAACCUUACUUAUAAAAAAGAUUGACGGUGAAUUUUUGAAACGUUUUUUAUUUUAAAACUUAAUUUACACUUGCUGAAAUGUUGUAAAAAUAGUACAGAGAAAUCCCCAUGCACCCUUCACCCAGCUUACCCUGUGUCAACAUCUAUUUAUCAAUGGUACAUCCAAUAAAAUGAGGAAAUGAACAGUAAGAUCCUUUAACGUUGGCAGAAUGCAUUUGCACUGGUAAUAACUGUAGGGCUUAUUUGAAUUUCACCGGUUUUCCCGCGAGGGUUCCUUUUGCGUUGUUCUAGGAUCUACCGCCACGUGUAGUAGCCAUGUCGUUUUCGUCUCCUCCAGUCUGUGGCAGUUUCUCAGUCUUCGUCUCUUUCUUGACCUUGACAUCUUUGAAGGGUACUAGUUAUUUUCUAGGCUGUUUCUCACUUUGGGUCUGCCUAAUGUUUUUUCAUGAUUGCACUGAGGUUAGGCAUUUUUGGCAAGAAUACUACGGAAAUGAUGUUCUUCCUUUCUCAAGUGCAUUAUAUCAAGGGGCGCAUGAUACCGAAAUAUUUUACCACUGGUGACGGUGACAUUGAUCACUUGUUUAAGGUGCUAUCUGCCGGGUUUCCCUUAUGUAUUCUCUUUGAUAUGUAAACUACCUUGUGGAGGUUCUUUGAGAAAUGUUCUAUCCCUCCUCAGACUUGCCUCCACUAAUUUUGGCAUCCAUUGGUGAAUCUUGCCUUCAACACUACUAUUAUUUUUUUAAUCAGUUCCUUUGAAGUUUCGGCAUUUUCUGGCUUUAACUUCUGCUGAGGGUGGUAUUUUGUUUUUAAUUUUCAUUUUUAGUUUUUCAUGUCUUUAGGAAAGAAAAUAUUGGAAGUCAAGGUUACUUUUUUUUGAGAGAGAGAGAGAGAGGGAGAGAGAGAGAGCAAGUGAGUGAGUGGGAGAAGGAUAGAGGGAGAGAGAGAGAGAAUCUUCAGCAGGUUCCAUACCCAGCCCAGUGUGGAACCUGAUGCGGGGCUCAGUCUCACAACCAUGAGAUCAUGACCUGAGCCGAAAUCAAGAGUUGAACACUUAACCAGAUGAGCCACCCAGGUGCCCCAAGGUGACUUUUUAAAUGCAAGUUUUUUAGAGUAAGGAUUCAACUCUAAAGGAAAAGAAAAGAAAAAAAUAAACUAAAGGUGGAGGUAAGGCUUGUGAAAAAAACAAUUCAUGAUACAAGGGUUUGUAUACCUAGAAAGCAACCUCAAUUUGACUACAUUUUCCAGGAACAAAUGUAAAGAGAGCAUCAUAAUUAGAACAAGAUUCAGUGCAGUCAGAUUUUGAAAAUUAAUUAGUUCAAGUUCCUGCAAUUGAAAUCUUCAGAGAAAAAUUUACUAGAGGUUCUCACAAAGAAGUCAGUAUAUAAUGUGGUUAACAUCCUCAACAGUCUUGUGAAACAUAACAUUUUUAUCAGAUAGUUUCUUAAAAUGGAAUUGUAGUACAUAUUGAGUUCAACUUUUCUAAAAAUAGUGGAACUGUUACCAUGAGAUAUAAUAUAUUAGAAAUCAAUGCAAGCUCCAGAAGUCCUUAAGAACUCAUAAAAGUUCUUAGAAGGUUCCUGAAAUUAGUUGGGAUCAAAUAAAUUACUGACCAGAUAGUGCUUACUUGAAUAAAACUUGAAUCCUCACUAGGCAAAUGCUACCGUGCUAACUAACCAAAACCUUUCAUAAUAGUGUUUUCUCUGGAGUAGAAAUCAUUUGGUCUCAAGUCAUGUAAAGGAGAUUAAAUAGGAAUGUCCCAGAAUAACCUUGUUAUAAGAUAGUCCCACAGGGGCGCCUGGGUGGCUCAAUCGGUUAAGCAUCCAACUUCAGUUCACAUCAUGAUCUCACGGCUCGUCAGCUGGAGCCUGCUUCAGAUUCUGUGUCUCCCUCUCUCUCUGCCCCUCCCCUUCUCGUGCUCUGCUCUCUCUCUGUCUCCAAAAUAAAUAAACAUUUAAAAAACUUUUUUAAAAAAAGUCCCACAAUAUUAACCUUGAGGAGAAAGCUAACAAAAUUGAGGUUUGCCAAGCAUUUGCCCUAUUUGUUGGACUUCUUGAGUAGAUUCUUCAAGUUUUGCUUCUGCUUAGUUUUUCUUUUGUUAAUUGUCUAUUUCUAUUUUUUAAUUUUAUCUUUGUUUUUAUAUCAUAUUAUAUCAUAUUCUAUUAUAUUACAUUAUAUUUAUUUUAUUAUAUUAUAAUAUAUUUUUUAUUUUAGAGGAGAGUAUGAGUAGGGGAGGGAGGGAGAGAGAGAGAAUCUUAAGCAGGCUCCAUGCUCGGUGUGGAGCCUGACAUGGGGCUCAAUGUCACGACCCUGGCGUCAUGACCGGAGCCAAAAUCAAGAGUCAGAUGCUCAACCAACUGAGCCACUCAGGUGCCCCCAUUUUCUAUUUCUAUACAGCUGAAACUAUUGAAGAUUUUGACAUUACUGUCAAAUAUGUGACUUUUGAUCUGCAAUCAAGUCUUGGCUAUUUUUAACAAAAAGCUUAAAAAACCUUUUCACAGGGGCAUCUGGGUGGCUCAGUUGGUUAAGCAUCCAACUUCGGCUUGGGUCAUGAUCUCACAGUUUGUGAGCCUGGCAUCCGGCUGUCUGCUGUCAGUGCGGAGCCCGUUUCAGAACCUCUGUCCCCCUCUCUCUCAGCCCCUCCCCCACUCUCUCUCUCUCUCUCAAAAAAUAAGUAAGCAUUUAAAAUAAAUAAAUCAACGACCUUUUCACAGCAUAUACAUGAAUGGCUGGCUACCUAUCUGAUGUAUGCAAAGUAAAUGUAUUUGUACAUUUAGAACGACUUUCAAUGAAGGAAAACUAAACGUGUAAUCCCAUAUACAAAUCACAUUGUAUAUCGCAUUAGCAUCUGAAUCUCUGGAUUAUUCUGCAAAUUGCCAUAUUACCAGCUUAAUUCAGUGGAACUUCAUAUUCAAGUUAAUGUGAGCUAGGGAACACUUGAAGUAUGGAGGAUACAGAGUGAAGAUAGGGACCUAAAGAGCAACAAUAUAUUUUAACACAGAUUUUAAAAAAUUAUACGUUAGCUUAUUUCUAUACAGUGUAGCUGAGAAUAAACUAGCCCCAACAUAGUGUCAGCUCAGAUUAGAUGAAGAGCUCAUCCAGGGUCAUUGGACUAUAUUUGGCAGGAUCUCUAGAAGCUCCAUGUUAUCUGUGUUUAUUAGGUUAUAAGCUGAAAAUAAAACACUAUGAAAGUUUCCAGUCAGAGUGACGUUUGGCAUGACUUUUAACCACCCCGCACCAUCUUUUUAAAAUGUGCCUUAUAUGGCCAAGGAAUUAGACAGCAUUUUAAUAAAAACUCCAGAUGUGAAAAUCAGUGUUCUUGUUGUUGCUGCUGUUGUUUUUUAAAUACUCUGUGAGACCUUGGGAAUAGAACCAAGUCAGAAUUGGCCAAUGCUGGAGACCCAGUCUUCACUACUCAGAAGAUAGAAACAGCACAGUUUUUGAUAGGCAAUUCUUGGGGGAAUCUUAGAUUUUUAAAAAUCAUGUGAGCAGGGAUGUACACGAACGUGAAAAGAGUCUGGGGGUGCCUGGUUGACUUGGUUGAGCCUCCAACUUGAUUUCAGUUCAGGUCAUGAUCACAGGGUCAUGGGAUUGAGCCCUGUGUUGGGCCCCAUGCUGGGCCAGGAGCCUCCUUAGGACUUCCUCUGCCUCUCCCUCUCCCCCAGUGUCUCUCUGUCUCUCUGUCUGUCUCUCUGUCUCUCUCAAAUUACAAAAAAAAAAAAAAAGAAACAUUUAGAAAAAAUACAGAAAAAGAAAGGAGUCUGAUGUUGGCUUUGAUCAGCUCUCUUUGUUUCUUUGUUUUUUUAAAGUUUUAUUUAUUUGUUUAGAGAGAGAGAGAGUGGGGGAGGGGCAGAGAGAGUAGGAGAGAGAGAAUCCCAAGCAGGCUCCACGCUGUCAGCGCAGAACCCAAUGUGGGGCUUGAACCCACGGACCAUGAGACCAACAUGACCUGAGCUGAAACCAAGAGCCGGACGCUUAACUGACUGAGCCACCCAGGUGCCCCGGAUUAGAUCUUUCAAGAAGGAAAAGAGACAGUUACUUCGAAAGAAACCAUUUUGUAAUCGUGUUCAUUUAAACAGCUGUUGGUUGUUUCAGCUUUUUACACAUCUUCACGUCAAGUGUUUCAGCCACUGUUUGGUAACAUUUUUAAUUUAGGUGAUAUUUUCGUUUUGUUCUUAUGACUUAGGUAGUUUCAUUAAUCACCUAAUUAAAUGAAGAGCACUGGUCAAUGUGCUGAAUGUUUAUAUUUAACUGUUAAUUAGUAUGUACGAAUCCCCUUUAUAAUUUUGUAUUUGUAAAAUAGCUUUUAAUAUUAUCUUUCAUCUAAAUUCAUUACAUAUUAAUGCAUAUAUAAAUUACCACCUAUAUUUUCUAAUCACACACAAAAUAUUUUUGAGUUAAGAAAAACAUAAGCCAGGUAACAUUUUAAUUUUUGCUUUCAUAAAUCUGUAAUUGUUAGUCUCUAUGCAAGUAACUAUACUAGCACUCUCUGGAAAUUGCCAGGCCUCUGUCAAUACUUCGCUAAGCAACCACUUCCACAGUCUUUUUAUGGAAUUAGCCUGAGAUAAUAAAUGAAUAAUAAGCAAUAAAUAAUAAAUGAAUAAACAAGCACCUUUUAACCCAGAUGACUAUACUGGUGAAUUCUAUCAAACAUUCAAGGGAGAAAUAAUACCAUUCAACAUGAACUCUUUCGGAAAAUAGAAGAGGAGAAGCCCUUCUCAGCAUAUGAACUUAACAUUACCUUGAUGCCAAAACUGGACAAUUUACGGAAAGAAGACUACAGACACAAAAAGUUCCUUAUCAAAAUAUUAACCAGUCAAAUCUAGCAAUGUAGAAAAAGGGUAACACAUCAUGGCCAAGUGGCAUUUAUCCCCGCAAUGCAAAGUUGAGUCAGCAUUCAAAAAUCAGUCAAUGUAAUUUACCAUAUUAAAAGGCUAAAAAAGAAGACCAUGAUACUAUCUCAGUAAAUGCUUAAAAAGCACUUGACAGAGUUUAACUCCCAUCUAUGGUAACUCUCAGAAAAGUAGGAUAAAGAGCAAAUAUUAGAAAAAGAAAAACCUACAGCUACAAGUGUACUUAAUGGUGACAGACUGUAUGAUUUUUCCUUAAGACUGGUAGGAAGACAAAGAUGUCCAUUCUCACUUAUAAUUCCAAUUUAUUGUAUUUGUGUGUGUGUGUAUGUGUGCAUGUGUGGGGGGGUUAUUUUUUAAUUUUUUAAUAUAAUUUAUUGUCAAGUUGGCUAACAUACAGUGUAUACAGUCUGCUCGUGGUUUUGAGGGUAGGUUCCUGUGAUUCAUUGCUUACACACAACACCCAGUGCCCAUCCCAACAAGUGCCCUCCUCAAUGCCCAUCACCCAUUUUCCCCUCUCCCCCUAUAAUUCUAUUUUAUAUUGAAGAUCCUAGUCAGUGAAAAAAGACCAAUAAAUAAAUAAAUAAAUAAAUAAAUCAGAAGAAAGAAAAGAAAAAGCAUAUAAAUCAGGAAGACGUAAAACCGUCUUUAUUCGCAGGUAACAUGUCAUCUGUCUGAAGUAAUCGAAAGGAACCUACAAAAAAACAAACGAAUAAACAAAAAAACCCCUGCCAGAAUAGGUAAACUGAGCCAGGUCACAAGGUACCAGCUCAGUUGGAUUUCUGCAUACUAGUAAUGUGUUAUGUAAUAAUGAUUUGAAUUUUCAAAAAUCAGUACCAUUUAAAAUGGCAACAGAGAGAUGGACUACUUCAGAUUUUAACAAAACGUGUACAGGAUCUCUACACUGACAAUUAGAAAACAUUGGUGACAUAAACUGAAGAGGACCUCAAUAAGGGGAGAGAAAUAUCAAACUCAUGGGUGAGAAGAUGCGACUUUGUUGGAAUGUCAUUUCUCCCCCAAGUUGAUCCUUCGGUUAAGUGCAACCCAAAUAAAAAUCUCAGCAGUUUUCUGUGUUGAAAUUGACCGGCUGACUCUGAAUUCUACUUGACAAUGCAAAGCACUGCCAAAUCAAUGUUGAUAAAGGGUAAAGUUGGAGGAUGCCCACUGCUCGAGCUUUUGACUAAGUAGAAACCUACAGCCAUCAAGAGAAGGUGGUAUUGGUGUAAGGAAAACUUCCCAAUCAAUGCGUCAAUAUGAAGAAUCCCAAAAUACACCUGCACAGGUAUAACCAAUUGAUUUUUUAUAGAAAUGUGCUAAGAUAAUGCAUGAGGAGAGGAUGGUCUUUCCACAAAUAGUUCUGGAACAAAUGGAUAUUUAUGUGGGGGUGGGGGGUGGGGAACAACCUCAGCAUAUACCUCGAACUUAGGAUACAAAAGUAUUGUCAAAUGGAUCAUGGGCCUACACGUAAAUGAUGAAAGUAGAAAUAAAACCCUAAGGGAAAACCUUACUGAUGUUGGUUUAGGCAAAAUUUUCUUUGAUUGGACUUAAAAUGUAUAAACUAUGAAAGAAAAGAAGAUUGGUAAGCUGGACUUAAAAUUUUUGCUCUUGGAGAGACACUCUUAAGAAAAUAAAAAGGCCACAGACUGGGAGAAAAUAUCUGCACAAUGUGUGAUCUUCUAAAGGAUUUUUUAAUAAAAGAUUCUUGUCAAACACAUAUAAAAAUUCUUAUAACUUGAUAAGAAGACCAUAAACUUUUUACAAAUCAGAAAACCGUUUACCAUUCUUCACCCCAGGAGAUGUACUGUUCUAACUGAAAAUUUAACUGUGCUGUUGGGGCAUUGGGCUCAUCUAACGAAACCAUGAAAAUCAAUGCAAAUAACUGGGCACGGCAAAGACCACCUAUGUGUAAGAAACAGAAUCACAACUGCCUUCCAAGUGUAUGAAUUUUCUGGGUUUUCAACUCCACUGAGUGUCCAAUAAGGGACACACAUUCUACGUUGCUUUGGGGAGCACCACAGCCCGUAUGCGCCAAACAUCUGGUAUUAAACACUCCUUGCCCUGAUCACCCUUACUGACUAGUAACAAAAAUGGCCAGCGUUUAUUGCACAAAGUGUCAAGCAUUGUUGUAAAGGCUUAUCUCGCUGUCCCCUCUCACCAUCCCCUAGAAGUGCAGCCAUUCCCUUUGUGGAGGCUUCGACAGAUAGGUUCAGUAAUUGGAGAGACGAGAUUCAAGCCCAGUGUGACUCCAAAACCUGUGCCCUUAACUGCUCUUAUAUUGUACGUGUGGUAACAAUAUGUUUGAUGACUGUGCUGAGAAGGGAAACGUAGGGAGAUAUGAGAAUACACCAGAGCCAACAACUUGGUUUCUGGUCUCAAAAAGUCUUCCCUGGAGAAAUAAUGCCGAUGCUGCUCCUUUGAUAAGAGUGAAUGUUAGGGACACCUAAGUGGCUCAGUCGAUUGAACAUCCAACUUCAGCCCAGGUCAUGAUCUUGGGGUUCAGGAGUUUGAGCCCCCCAUCGGGCUCUGUGCUGGCAGCUCAGAGCCUGGAGCCUGCUUCGGAUUCUGUGUCCCCUUUUCUCUGUGUUUUCAAUGAUUACUUUGUUUACUACCCUCUGUCCCGUCUCAUUUCCACCCCAACAAUUUGAUCAGGCAAUACAAGAAUUUUUUAUAGAAUCAUUCUUGUUGAAAGUUGACACUUUCAAUGUCAUAGGUCAAAGUAACUAUCUUCUCUAUUUUUGUAAGACUAGCAAACAUGGAUUCUCUGUCUUGCACUGCUCUGUGCUCAGGUAACUUCUUGGAAAUACUCGAUGUAAAUUAAAACAACUGAGAAGCGUGUUCAGUAUGUAUUGACCUAAUGGAAGGAGAUAUUAUAUUACACCUACCACGUGUCAGGUACUUGGACAUACAUUAUCAACCUUAAUUCCCACGUUACUCUGCGUUAAUUCAUUCGAAGGCCUAUUCCCUUAGUAUAGUUUGAGAUACUGAAGCUUGGAGGAAUUAACCCCCAGCUCAGGGUUACACGGCCACAAGUUGCAGAACCGAGAUUCCAAUUCCAGUUCUGAAUUCUCUGAACCUGUGCAAGGAAUUGUUUGCUUUCCAUGUCAUGACCCAGCUAAUCUAGCCACAUGCUGGUUCAGAUAUGGCUCCAUGAGCAAAAGAUAGAAGCAGCUCUUCAUCACAAGAUAGUUGGCUUUAUGGACCAAUUCAUGCCUAUGGCCACUUUCCUCAUUUCCAUCCAGACUCUGAUUUGGGUUCCUGGCUCCUUAUUACCCACGCCUUCUGUCCACAAGCUUCCUUAUCUGUCUUUCUUAUUUCUACCUUUACUGGUCUCCUUGAAUAAUUGGUAGCUGACUCAUCUUUCAGCUCUUAUUUGAUCACUUUGGACUUGACCUCAGAUCUGUUUGACUUGCUAGGAUUCUUUUAAUGUACCUUUUCUAGAAGAAUUACUGGUCCAUUUUCCUAGACAAACACCAGACCUUUCUCUGGUGUUUCUGUGUGGGACGACCAGAAGGGUACUCCUCCUGCCUCGUGCUGUGAGUCGUUUGGGUUUUGUGGUGUCAGAGGAAAUGUUUGCCUAUGCAUUGUCUGACUCUUCAAAAUUCAUCUUCUGAUUUUUGCUUAGUGUUUGAAUUUGUACUCAGUUAGAUGUGUACUUUCAUAAGACGAUUGUUUUGUUCAAAACUACUUGCAAAAAGCAGUGUGUGUGUUUGCUUUCAAUCUUAAAAAUGUUGAAAACAAGUUUUAUCCCAUAUAAACUCUAAAGUUUCACACAUUUAUUUUUUUAAAGGGUUCUUUUUUAAAAAUUUGCAUUGACAUCUGUAGAAAAUUCUGUUCACGUAAAUAACAGUGCUUAAAAGUCGCUUUGACUUUUGAAAGGUGCCAGAUUGCCUUAUCAUUGUCUUUGAGAGAUUAGGAUGUUUGUUUGGAAGGUUGCCUUUUUUUUUUUUU